rnacentral:rRNA from 1 species
UACGAGGGGUGCAAGCGUUGUUCGGAAUUACUGGGCGUAAAGCGUGAGGAGGCGGUUCGCUAAGUCUGAUGUGAAAGCCCUGGGCUUAACCCAGGAACCUGCAUCGGAAACUGGUGGACUAGAGUUCGGGAGAGGGUCGUGGAAUUCUUGGUGUAGAGGUGAAAUUCGUAGAUAUCAAGAGGAACAACCGGUGGCGAAGGCGGCAGACCGUGGAC